rnacentral:tRNA from 1 species
GUUAAAAUAAUUUAAUUUAAAAUAUUGAUUUUGUAAAUCAAAUUUGGCCACACCUUUUAACA